rnacentral:rRNA from 1 species
UACGGAGGGUGCAAGCGUUAUCCGGAUUCACUGGGGUUAAAGGGUGCGUAGGAGGGCAGGUAAGUCAGUGGUGAAAUCUCCAAGCUUAACUUGGAAACUGCCGUUGAUACUAUCUGUCUUGAAUAUUGUGGAGGUGAGCGGAAUAUGUCAUGAAGCGGUGAAAUGCUUAGAUAUGACAUAGAACACCAAUUGCGAAGGCAGCUCACUACACAAUCAUUGACUCUGAGGCACGAAAGCGUGGGGAUCAAACAGG